rnacentral:rRNA from 1 species
UACGGAGGGUGCGAGCGUUGUCCGGAAUCAUUGGGUUUAAAGGGUCCGUAGGCGGUUUGGUAAGUCAGUGGUGAAAGCCCAUCGCUCAACGGUGGAACGGCCAUUGAUACUGCCAGACUUGAAUUAUUAGGAAGUAACUAGAAUAUGUAGUGUAGCGGUGAAAUGCUUAGAGAUUACAUGGAAUACCAAUUGCGAAGGCAGGUUACUACUAAUGGAUUGACGCUGAUGGACGAAAGCGUGGGUAGCGAACAGG